ensembl:lncRNA
CAGCAUGUCAUCGGCACCAAAACGCAAAGGUGGCAGGGAGAAAAAAAAAGAUGUCUGGAGGAAGGUGCAUCAAAAUAUGCAAAAAUCUCUGAUUUAUUUGGGAAACCACCGACUGUUGACAGUGAUAAGAAGUCCGCCCCUGGUAAGGGGGUCCUGCCUCUCUAUUUCAAGCACAGCAACAUGACCAGCUUCGUGAGACAACUCAACAUGUAUGGACUCCAGAGACAGUGUGUACUCCAACAGAGUGAUCCUAUCAGAGAUCUCCCACCUGUUGCAGCCAGACUCCAAACUCAACAGUCUCUCUGUGUGUUUAGAGAUUCCCUCUGCGUCUUCCAGUGUGUCGUCACUUUCCACAGAGAUGCAUCAAGUAUUAUCUGAGGUUCCUUCCGGUUCCACUGAUGUUCCCUCUGGUUCCGCUGAUGUUCCCUCCAAGUCAAAGGAGAAGCCGUCUGUCUUCACUGAACUACCAUCUGUGUCUCCAAGCGUUCUGCCAGAAUCUACAGACAUUCUGUCCAUGUUCACUGAAGUUCCGUCUCUGUCUAAAGACAUUUCAUCCAUGUUCUCUCAAGUUCCGUCUGUUGUGACUAGUGUGCCUUCACUCUGUCCAGAGGUUCCGUCCAUGUUCUCUCAAGUUCUGUCUGAAUCUACCAGUGUUCCAUCACUGUGGACAGAGCUUCCAUUGAUGUUCGGUGAAAUUCCGUCUGUGGCUACCAGUGUUCCGUCAUCCCACUCUGCACAGAUUUGAUCAGUGUUCUCUGAAGUUCUGUCUGGUUCUACCAGUGUUCCCUCUCAGCCAGCUGGAUGCACAUCAGUAGAACACGCCCUAUCCCUCCUCAUGGAACCAGAGACACAUGACCCCAUAGAGAACAGCGCAGAGAGUCUGCUUGUCUAACAGCGCACCCUUGUGGCAGGUGUGAGGAUGACCCUCUGGCCCUGAUUGACUCCAGUCUGGCUGCUAUAAGCUGCUCGCUAGCGCCCUCCGAUGACUUGGACCUGCUCUCAGAGUUCUUCAGCCCUGCUGUGGGUGCAUCUGACCACGUUGCCAUGAGUACGCAGACAGCAGAGAGGAAACCUGGGGCCCAGUCAAGGGAAGAUCCACCUCUACACACACACACAGGUACACACACACACACACACACACACACACACACACACACACACACACACACCCACACAUACAGGUACACACAGACAUACACACACACACAUACAGGUACACACACACAUACACACACACACAGACACACACACACACACACACACACACAUUUUGGAGCCCAGAGGUAGGAUGAGACACC